GAGGGUAUAGCUCAGUAGUAGAGUGAAUGCUUAGCAGGCACGAGGUCCUGGGUUCAAUCCCCAGUACCUCCA
rnacentral:tRNA from 1 species